rnacentral:rRNA from 1 species
AAAUUGAAGAGUUUGAUCAUGGCUCAGAUUGAACGCUGGCGGCAGGCCUAACACAUGCAAGUCGAGCGGAAACGAGUUAUCUGAACCUUCGGGGGACGAUAACGGCGUCGAGCGGCGGACGGGUGAGUAAUGCCUAGGAAAUUGCCCUGAUGUGGGGGAUAACCAUUGGAAACGAUGGCUAAUACCGCAUGAUGCCUACGGGCCAAAGAGGGGGACCUUCGGGCCUCUCGCGUCAGGAUAUGCCUAGGUGGGAUUAGCUAGUUGGUGAGGUAAGGGCUCACCAAGGCGACGAUCCCUAGCUGGUCUGAGAGGAUGAUCAGCCACACUGGAACUGAGACACGGUCCAGACUCCUACGGGAGGCAGCAGUGGGGAAUAUUGCACAAUGGGCGCAAGCCUGAUGCAGCCAUGCCGCGUGUGUGAAGAAGGCCUUCGGGUUGUAAAGCACUUUCAGUCGUGAGGAAGGUAGUGUAGUUAAUAGCUGCAUUAUUUGACGUUAGCGACAGAAGAAGCACCGGCUAACUCCGUGCCAGCAGCCGCGGUAAUACGGAGGGUGCGAGCGUUAAUCGGAAUUACUGGGCGUAAAGCGCAUGCAGGUGGUUUGUUAAGUCAGAUG